AGUCUUCCUAAACACUUCCUGUAAAGUGAGAUCUAAUGUUUACACUUCCGUUUUUGCACAGUCUGUGUAAUUUCGAAUUUCUUAUCUCCUUCACUGUUAAUAGCCUUCUAGACCCUGCUGAAGCCUCUUGUGAGUGAUUGUGCUGUAGAAAAUAGGGAACACAUUCUCCAAAACAACCCAGGAAGAGAGGGCCCAACUUGUUUGAAAUUGAAGGAUUUGGGCCAAACAUGAUGCG